rnacentral:lncRNA from 1 species
AGCUUCCAUCUACUUCUGUCUCCCAAGUCCCACUGAAAAAAGCAGGAAUUUUUUUUUUUUUUUUUUAAGCAAUGGAAACAGAGAAAACAAGAAGGAAAGUCCCCUUAGAACAGAAGUUUGAGGAAGUCCCAAAUAAGAAAACAGCAGGAUAGGAAGCUUUAAAAAAAAGAGAGAGCAGAGAAAAACAGUGCCCAGAGUAACCCUUCGCAAGAUAACCCCAGCCCGUGACUCCUCAACAAAUAAAAAGAGUGGGAGGGAGCUGGCAGCUAAGCUGGGAUGAUUAAUUGAUGAACUGACUUUAAAACAGCCGAGAUCCCUGCCCCUUGCCCUGCUUUUUCUCCUUCCAGGGCAUCCUGCUUGGGGUGGACAGAGGCCUCUAAAGACAGUUAUUUGCCUGUUGGGGCUCCUAAAAUGGGAGCAAAAAAGGCAAAGCAGUUUGAAAUAACUCUGGACCCUCACAAGGGAUAAUAGAAGGGACAAAAGGGCAAAGUGGCUUUGUCCCAAAUAGAGGUCCAGUCAAGUUGUCCUGUGGCCAAUUAACAGCUGUCCUUAUUUUGGCAUCUGGGGUUGAGAUGGGGCAGCCUGCCCCCUGGCUGAUACAGACAUACAAACCCAAAGUCAAGCCUGCCAGCAAAUACCACCUGCCCAUCUCCAUGGUCAGGCCAGAAGCUGAGAUGACGUGAAACUGAGGGGUGGGGACAGUUGGAAGACACUCCUUCACCAGCUCUCCUGUUCCUUCACAGUUUGCUGACACUGUCAAGACUGCAAGGCCCUGGCUUCUCUUUAGGGUUGGAUUUGCAGCAGGCAACCUGGAGGAAUGAGAUCAUGUCUGCUCCUGGGACAGGAGAACUCUUUCUUACUGGUUGCUAUUAAGCAGAAGGUUCCCCAAGCUCAGUAUUCCUCUCCUGUCACUCAGCCCGCUGUGCAAGCAGAUGCUCAUCUAGGCCCCUCGGCCUCGCCCUGUGCAAAGUGGGACUUGGAACUGAGGCAAACAUGCCUGAUGCUCUGGAGACUGCUUUUGUUGUGAGGAAAAAAGAGUCUUUCAUUUCAACCCAGGAGUCUUGUGUCUUUGUCAGCAAGAAGUGACAAGCCUGCUUGUUGCCUUGCAAGUAGAGUAAAAUCUAAGACCUUAUACAGUUCUUUGUUUUUAACUGAAGUAUAGUUGAUUUACUGUGUUAUAUUAGUUUCAGGUGUACAACUUAGUGAUUCAAUAUUUUUAUAGAUUAUAUCCACUUAAAAUUAUUAUAAAAUAUUGGGCCAUAUUCCCCAUGCUGUGCAUCACAUCCUUGUGUGUCGUUUAUUUUAUGCAUAAGAGUUUGUACCUCUCAAUUUCCUGCUUCUGUCUUGUCCCUCCCUCCUCCCUUCUCCCCACUGGUAAGCACUAGUUUGUUCUUUACAUCUGUGAGACUGUUCUGUUUUGUUCUAUUCAUUCGUUUUAUUUUUUAGAUUGCUCAUAUAAGUGAAAACAUGUAGUGUUUGUCUUUCUCUGUCUGACUUACCUCACUAAGCAUAAUACCAUCCAGGUCCAUCUAUGUUGUUACAAAUGGCAAAAUUGUCAUUCUUUUUUACGGGUUUUAUAUAUCUGUGUGUGUAUGCGUGCGUUUUACAAGUUAAUAUUUUGCUUUUGUAUGGAUUUAUACCUACAAGUGGAAUUUCUGGAUCAUAUGGUAGUUCUAGUUUUCAUUUUUUCGAGGAACCUCCAUACUGUUUUCUCUAGUAGCUGCACCAAUUUCCAUUCCCAUCAGCAGUGAACUUGUGUUCCCUUUUUUCCACAUACUAACCAACAUUUAUUACUUGUUGUCUUUUUAAUAAUGGCCAUUCUGACUGGUGUGAGGUGAUAUCUCCUUGUAGUUUUGAUUCGCAUUUCCCUGAUGAUUAGUGAUAUUGAGCAUCUUUUCAUGUGCCUGUUGGCCAUAUCUAUGUUGUCUUUGGGAAAAUGUCUGUUCAGGUCUCAUGCCCAUUUUUUCAUUGGGUUAUUUGCUUUCUUGGUGUUGAGUUGUAUGAGCUUUUAUAUAUAUUUCGGGUGUUAACCCCUUGUUGGUCAUAUUAUUUGCAAUUAUCUUCUCCAUUCAAUAGGUCUUCUUUUCAUUUUGUUGAUGGUUUCCUUUGCUGUGCAGAAGCUUCACAUGUCAUUAUGUCCCAUUUGUUUAGUUUUGCUUUUGUUUCCUUUGCCUGAGGAGACAGAUCUAAAAAAAUAUUGCUAAGAUGGGUUGCAGACGCGGCUCAGAUCCCGAGUUGCUGUGGCUCUGGCAUAGGCCAGUGAUUACAGCUCCGAUUUGACCCCUAGCCUGGGAACCUCCAUAUGCCGCAGGAAGUGGCCCUCGAAAAGGCAAAAAGACACACAAUAUAUAUAUAUAUUUCUAAGAUGAAUAGCAAAGAGUCUAUUGUCUCUGUUUUCUUCUAGGAGUUUUAUGGUUUCCAGGCUUACAUUUAGGUCUUUAAUCAAUUUCUAGUUUAUUUUUCAUAUGUGAUGUGAGAAAAUGUUGCAAUUUCAUUCUUUUACAUGUGGCUGUCACCUUCACAGUUGUUGACAUGAGGCUGUCAUUUGUAGGUGGCAUGGCAUGUGCAGAGGCAGUCCAAAAGAAUCUGUAAACAAAUUAUUGAGUAAAUGAGAGAAUUUAGCAAGUUUGCAGGAUAAACAGUCAAUUACAGAAAAAAAUCAGUUUCACGUCUAUAUGUUAGAAAAAAGUAGAAUAAAAAUUUUAGAAUUACCAUACAAAAUAAAAUAAAAAAUGGCACAAAACCCAUCAUAAGUAACAAAAUCUAACAUUAGAUUACAAAACCUUUACACUGAAAGUGCAAAAACAUUGCUUAGAAAUUAAUGAUGAUAAUGUAAGGAAUGAUAAUAGCAUGUUCACAGUUUAUUAAGAUGUCCAUUCUGGGGAGUUCCCAUCAUGGCUCAGCGGAAAUGAAUCUGACUAGCAUCCAUGAGGAGGCAGGUUCAAUCCCUGGCCUCCUCAGUGGGUUAAGAAUAUGGCAUUGCUGUGAGCUGUGGCAUAGAUUGCAGAUGCAGCUCGGAUCCAGUGUUGCUGUGGCUGUGGUGUAAGCUGGCUGCUACAGCUCUGAUUCGACCCCUAACCUGGGAACCUCUAUAUGCCAUGGAUGUGGC